rnacentral:rRNA from 1 species
GACAAACAAGGCCAAAUUAAGACAAGUACAGUAAAAAAGGGGGUUAGGGAAUUAAUGGUAAAUACAUGUUACCAACUUUAUAAAAAAGAUUAUGUCUUCUGUAGAGGUGGAAUUUGUGCAGAAUAAACAACCUCUUACUUUUUUUUAUCCUGAGGCCCCGAAAUCUUAAUUAAAAACCGGGAUUAGAUACCCCGUUAUUUAAGGUGUAAAUUUUAAUUUCAAAAUAUUUACUUGAGUAUUACGAGUUCUAUAACUUAAUGUAGAGAUAACUUAAAACUCAAAAAACUUGGCGGUGCCUUAAAUCCUUUCAGGGGAACCUGUCCUAUAAUCGAUAGUCCACGAUUCACCUUUCCUUUUUUUGAAUGACUCAGUCUGUAUACCGUCGUCGCCAGAUUACCUCUAAGAGUAAAGAAGUUAUCUAAAGGAAAAUCAUAAAGAUAGGACCCAAUUUUACAUCAUAAAAAUCAACUAGUUUUAUGUUUUCUGAACGUCAGAUCAAGGUGCAGCUUAUAAAAAGGAAGAGAUGGGUUACAAUAAAUAAUUAUUAUUUACGGAUUUCUUUUUGUAAAAUAAAAGCUUAAAGGAGGACUUGAAAGUAAUUAACGAGAAGUAGAGAGUCUCGGUGAAAAUGGCCCUAAGGCGUGC